rnacentral:lncRNA from 1 species
UUUAUGGAUUCAAAUUAAAAUUUAAAUUGUAAUUUUAAAUUUGAAUUUGAAUAAAUAAAAUUUUAGUUUCAUAUUUUGAAUUAUCCACUCAACUUCAAAGAUUAAUUUAUUUUAAAAAAAUAGAUUUAAAAAUUUGAUAUUAUUUAAAAAUUUUGAUGUAAAUUUUUAAUAUUUAAUAUUUAAUUUGAAUUUAAAUUAAUAUAUUAUAAAGAUAAUGUUCGUAUAUUAAUUUGAUUACGUUUUUUAUUUAUAUCCACCUGAACCAAACACCAACAAUAGAAAUGAUUUAUUCCGAUUCCGAUUUAGAUGAUGAACCAAACGGAAUUAGGUAAUGAGCCAUUCCAAUUCCGAUUCCAGCUUAUUUUGAUUCCGAUUGCGAUUCCAACUCCGACUUCGAACCAAACACGCCCUAAGUGUCUUAAGCAGGAGAACAAGGGGAGAGG